CGGACCAAAUUCGACGUUUCGAGAACUCGCUGCUUGGCAACAGCUAUGCGCUCGUCGAUACAUUGUAUAUGAUCCGGCGGUCAGAUAAGACGAUCUGACUGAGACAUUGUAGGGCCGCGAGUGACGGUUAGAAAAUACAGACUGUGUUAAGCCUCGUGGCGUAACAUCCUCCCCCCGUUGAGAGGGUACCGAUCAAAUGAUAUGGUGUGGAGUCAGUUGCGUCGCUGGCGAAUCUCCUUGGCUCCGUGUGGGUGGUCGGACUCGUCUGGAUCUGGGUGAAUGGGUAAGGGGACCAGUCUUUUGAGGAUAGACUCGAUUUCAAUGAUCAGUGUGUUCAAAUUUUCGUAUGUUAAGAGCUCGUUACCUGCCACACGUCUGAGAUGUCGUUUGAAGGACUUCACCGCAGCCUCCCACAGCCCGCCGAAGUGAGGUGAGUUGGGAGGAAUGAAGUGCCAUUCGAUUCGUCGAUCGGCUAAAAAGGACUGAAUCUUUACCUUAUGAUCGUCGGACUGCAGGAGGUUUCGGAGCUCUCGUAAUUCAUUGUUGGCGCCAACGAAGUUGGUGCCGUUGUCAGAAUAAAUUGUUACACAGAAUCCUCGGCGAGCGAUGAAUCUUCGCAGAGCAGCAAUGAAGGCCUCGCUAGUGAGAUCGGUGACCAGCUCGAGGUGGACUGCUUUAACUGCAAGGCAUACGAAGAUUGCUACAUAUACCUUGAUUUUUCGUCGGUUGCGAUCCUUUCGUUCCUUGAUGUAGAACGGUCCGCAAUAAUCGAUUCCGACGUUCGUAAAUGGACGAGAUUCCGUUAUCCGUGCAGCUGGAAGGUCGC
rnacentral:misc_RNA from 1 species